rnacentral:rRNA from 1 species
GGUGAACGCUGGCGGUAGGCCUAACACAUGCAAGUCGAACGGCAGCACAGUAAGAGCUUGCUCUUACGGGUGGCGAGUGGCGGACGGGUGAGGAAUACAUCGGAAUCUACUUUUUCGUGGGGGAUAACGUAGGGAAACUUACGCUAAUACCGCAUACGACCUACGGGUGAAAGCAGGGGAUCUUCGGACCUUGCGCGAUUGAAUGAGCCGAUGUCGGAUUAGCUAGUUGGCGGGGUAAAGGCCCACCAAGGCGACGAUCCGUAGCUGGUCUGAGAGGAUGAUCAGCCACACUGGAACUGAGACACGGUCCAGACUCCUACGGGAGGCAGCAGUGGGGAAUAUUGGACAAUGGGCGCAAGCCUGAUCCAGCCAUACCGCGUGGGUGAAGAAGGCCUUCGGGUUGUAAAGCCCUUUUGUUGGGAAAGAAAAGCAGCAGGUUAAUACCCCGCUGUUCUGACGGUACCCAAAGAAUAAGCACCGGUUAACUUCGUG